rnacentral:rRNA from 1 species
GUGUCAGCAGCCGCGGUAAUACGAAGGGUGCAAACGUUGCUCGGAAUCAUUGGGCGUAAAGCGCACGUAGGCGGCCUCGCAAGUCGGAUGUGAAAUCCCUCGGCUCAACCGAGGACGUGCACCCGAAACUGCGGGGCUUGAGUACUGAAGAGGAUCGCGGAAUUCCCGGUGUAGAGGUGAAAUUCGUAGAUAUCGGGAGGAACACCAGUGGCGAAGGCGGCGAUCUGGGCAGAUACUGACGCUGAGGUGCGAAAGCGUGGGGAGCAAACAGGAUUAGAAACCCGCGUAGUCC